GUCGAGAAUAAUUCACAAUGGACGAAAGUCUGAUGGUGCAACGCCGCGUGGAGGAUGACGGUCUUCGGAUUGUAAACUCCUGUCAUCCGGGAGUAAGACCUGGCUGUGAAUAGCAGACAGGGUUGAUAGUACCGGAAGAGGAAGGGACGGCUAACUUCGUGCCAGCAGCCGCGGUAAUACGAAGGUCCCGAGCGUUGUGCGGAAUCACUGGGCGUAAAGGGAGCGUAGGCGGCGUGGUAAGUCAGAUGUGAAAUCCCGGGGCUCAACCCCGGAACUGCAUCCGAUACUGCCGUGCUAGAGGAUUGGAGAGGUAGCUGGAAUUCUUGGUGUAGCAGUGAAAUGCGUGGAGAUCAAGAGGAACACUCGUGGCGAAAGCGAGCUACUGGACAAUAUCUGACGCUGAGGCUCGAAGGCCAGGGUAGCGAAAGGGAUUAGAAACCCUAGUAGUCC
rnacentral:rRNA from 1 species